rnacentral:rRNA from 1 species
AUUGAACGCUGGCGGCAGGCCUAACACAUGCAAGUCGAACGAGUGGCGGACGGGUGAGUAAUGUCUGGGAAACUGCCUGAUGGAGGGGGAUCACUACUUGACACGGUAGCUAAUACCGCAUACCAUCCGAUUUCCCCAUAUGUGAUUAGCUGGUUGGUGGGGUAACGGCUCACCAACGCGACGAUCCCUAGCGGGUCUGAGAGGAUGACCAGCCACACGGGGACUGAGACACGGCCCAGAAUCCUACGGGAGGCAGCAGUGGGGAAUAUUGCACAAGUGGCGCAAGACUGAUGCAGCCAUGCCGCGUGUAUGAAGAAGGCCUUGGGGUUGUAAAGUACUUUCAGCGGGGAGGCGUUAACCGCAGAAGAAGCACCGGCUAACUCCGUGCCAGCAGCCGCGGUAAUUC